rnacentral:rRNA from 1 species
AAACGUCUUGUGACCGUUCGGUCCCUAUCUGCCGUGGGCGCUGGAGAAUUGAGGGGGGCUGCUCCUAGUACGAGAGGACCGGAGUGGACGCAUCACUGGUGUUCGGGUUGUCAUGCCAAUGGCACUGCCCGGUAGCUAAAUGCGGAAGAGAUAAGUGCUGAAAGCAUCUAAGCACGAAACUUGCCCCGAGAUGAGUUCUCCCUGAGACUUUAAGUCUCCUGAAGGAACGUUAAAGACGAUGACGUUGAUAGGCCGGGUGUGUAAGCGCAGCGAUGCGUUGAGCUAACCGGUACUAAUGAACCGUGAGGCUUAACCUUACAACGCCGAAG